rnacentral:rRNA from 1 species
GAUGAACGCUGGCGGCGUGCCUAAUACAUGCAAGUCGAGCGAACGGACGAGAAGCUUGCUUCUCUGAUGUUAGCGGCGGACGGGUGAGUAACACGUGGAUAACCUACCUAUAAGACUGGGAUAACUUCGGGAAACCGGAGCUAAUACCGGAUAAUAUUUUGAACCGCAUGGUUCAAAAGUGAAAGACGGUCUUGCUGUCACUUAUAGAUGGAUCCGCGCUGCAUUAGCUAGUUGGUAAGGUAACGGCUUACCAAGGCAACGAUGCAUAGCCGACCUGAGAGGGUGAUCGGCCACACUGGAACUGAGACACGGUCCAGACUCCUACGGGAGGCAGCAGUAGGGAAUCUUCCGCAAUGGGCGAAAGCCUGACGGAGCAACGCCGCGUGAGUGAUGAAGGUCUUCGGAUCGUAAAACUCUGUUAUUAGGGAAGAACAUAUGUGUAAGUAACUGUGCACAUCUUGACGGUACCUAAUCAGAAAGCCACGGCUAACUACGUGCCAGCAGCCGCGGUAAUACGUAGGUGGCAAGCGUUAUCCGGAAUUAUUGGGCGUNAAGCGCGCGUAGGCGGUUUUUUAGUCUGAUGUGAAAGCCCACGGCUCAACCGUGGAGGGUCAUUGGAAACUGGAAAACUUGAGUGCAGAAGAGGAAAGUGGAAUUCCAUGUGUAGCGGUGAAAUGCGCAGAGAUAUGGAGGAACACCAGUGGCGAAGGCGACUUUCUGGUCUGUAACUGACGCUGAUGUGCGAAAGCGUGGGGAUCAAACAGGAUUAGAUACCCUGGUAGUCCACACCGUAAACGAUGAGUGCUAAGUGUUAGGGGGUUUCCGCCCCUUAGUGCUGCAGCUAACGCAUUAAGCACUCCGCCUGGGGAGUACGACCGCAAGGUUGAAACUCAAAGGAAUUGACGGGGACCCGCACAAGCGGUGGAGCAUGUGGUUUAAUUCGAAGCAACGCGAAGAACCUUACCAAAUCUUGACAUCCUUUGACAACUCUAGAGAUAGAGCCUUCCCCUUCGGGGGACAAAGUGACAGGUGGUGCAUGGUUGUCGUCAGCUCGUGUCGUGAGAUGUUGGGUUAAGUCCCGCAACGAGCGCAACCCUUAAGCUUAGUUGCCAUCAUUAAGUUGGGCACUCUAAGUUGACUGCCGGUGACAAACCGGAGGAAGGUGGGGAUGACGUCAAAUCAUCAUGCCCCUUAUGAUUUGGGCUACACACGUGCUACAAUGGACAAUACAAAGGGCAGCGAAACCGCGAGGUCAAGCAAAUCCCAUAAAGUUGUUCUCAGUUCGGAUUGUAGUCUGCAACUCGACUACAUGAAGCUGGAAUCGCUAGUAAUCGUAGAUCAGCAUGCUACGGUGAAUACGUUCCCGGGUCU